GACUCCUGUUUGACUUCACGCAUGCGCAGAGUAUGGUGAGGGAAGUGGGUCAAGACUCACCGGCGCCGGCCACAGUUCACUGCCGACUACCGAGGAGGGAAGUGCGGCGGUAGUGACGAAAACUUUGUUAUAGCUUCCUGUUGAUUAAGAGUACACCAAAUGCACUC